GGAAAAACAAAGUGUGGAUGUCAGGUGAAAUGAUUAAGGCUUUCAGUAAAAUACAGUAAAAAUACCAAUAGUACACACAUUGACUUUCUAGGUCUGGUAUUGUAUCACAUUACAGAUGUACCUCAUGCUGUAGCCAGUAACUGCCGGACAAGCACAAAUAAAACAAUAAAUGUCACAUGAUCGCUCACCUGUACAACAUGACGUCAUAGAGCGUCCUCCCUUGUACGUUGAGCAUGUGCGCAUAUAAGGCCCCGCAUCCGGCCUCCUCCAGGGCAAGCACGUCGUUGGUCACAAGCCCCUGGAGGAAGGGGCUAAUAUCGCUUCCAUUGACACGGAGAAUGGUCCUGUGGCCCAGGCGGUAGCAGCAAGCUAGCUUAGCCGGUUCACCACGGCCGUCAAGUGCCGCCUGAUUGUAGUGCCUCACCGGGAGCCCCGCACGGGCCGAAACGCCAAACCAGAAACCGGUGUAUUUGCUGGCGAAAACACCGAGAGGACCGCCAGAGGCUGUUCAGUCAUGGGACCUGAGUUCAUGUUGACCCGGCAUGGGAUAUGCCAUCUCCCCCGCCAUCUGAGGAAGUAGGAGCGGCUCUGCCAUGAGGCCCCCCCCACAGCCCCCCUCCAGAUCCAGCACUACUGACACUGGGGAGGGCUUCAGCCUCAUGGAGACAGAUGGCACCAAUGGUGGUAGUGCAAAGAAAGCCAUAUGGGCCUGCAGGACUCCUCCUCCAGAGGCCUGCCCCUCCAGCCUCCCCUCUCCAUGUGAGUGAGGAGAUGUGGCAUAGCCAUCACCCCUGGUGAGAAGACAGAGGAUGCUGCUGGAGUGAGCAUUCGGGAUUUGGACAUGUGCAAUCCCGCAGGGACAAAUAAGCACGUGUUUGGAAUAUUUUUUUUUUUUUUUUAAAUCUCCAACUUUCAACACAUUUCUCUCCUUGUGAAAUCUCUCCCUCCUCCAAAGAGCACAGAUGGUCCCACGAAAGAUGGCUGACAAGUGAACAUUGGAGGCAUUCAAGAACGUCACUUUGAGUGAGCGUUCCUAGACAGUGCGUGAACGUGGCUGUCUCUGAUGGACAAUUAGCACUCGCAGGUCGCAGUGAUCUAAUGAAAUUUGAUACUGACAUGCAUAGCUUCUCUAAAAUAGCAGUAACAGAGGAGAGCAGACUUGACCCUUAUUAUUUUCAACCCCCCUUCCCCAUUAUUAAGGAGUAUUAUUGAAAUAGUCUUCUGACUACACAAACACUUAUCUGCUAUAAUAACUGGAAAUACAAUAAUAUGAGGUCAAUUAUAUUUCAUACAUCUCCUUAAAAAAAAUUUAAUCUGACAAACUUAAAAAUAUUUACAAAUUAAUUGUAACGUACGAAUACCAAUCUGCUAUAGUAAAAUAUAUAUCCAAUUAUUAUAAAAUAAAAUAAAUAAAUUACAAUGCUUACAUGUCACCCAAAAUAUUUUGUAGUUUAAAAAUGUUUUUUACUAUAUUUUAUGUAUAUUUUAGUAUAAUAAUACAUUCAUUCAGUAAAAGGCAAUGUAUAGAUGCUAAGAAAUUAUUUUUUGUAAACUUAAAAACCCCAAAAAAUUCAUUUACAUUUGUUUAAAUACAAAUAAUAACAUUUUUGGCCCACUCAUGAAUUGACUUCACUCUUUAACUCGACUUGCGUUGCCAUUUUAGAUAACGUCACUCCUUUUACAGACAGGCGGUCUAAGCCUGUUGGUGAACCGUGGCUGAACGACACCACUCGUGCACUCAGACGCGAGUACCGCCAAGCUGAAAGAAAGUGGAAAAAGGCCAAGUUGAAAGUGUCUCGGGGGCAUUUAAAAAAACGCUUACCAAAUUAUCAGAAAGCUGUCAAGUCUGCAAAGACUCAGUAUAUCCAAUCUUGUGUCCAAUUACAAUCAUAGACCUCAGGUUUUAUUUAAUGUUUUGAACAGGAUUGUAAAUCCACCUGAAUGUACUGGAGUGGUUCCCUCUGCGUCAUUAUGUGAAAAGUAUUGUUCUUUUUUUUAAUGACAAAAUUUCCACCUGUCGUUCUGUAGCCAUAUGUUGCACAGCGCCAGGUCCGCCUGAUGUUUUUGUGUGCACAGCCGUAUGAGCAGUCCAAGCUGUCUGAGAUAGUCUAGACGUGUUUCAUACCAAUUGGCCUUUUAUCUUAAAGUUGAUAAAUGCUUCUCUCACUUCUGGUUAUGUUGCAAGUGCAUUCAAACAUGAUGUUGUGCAGCACAACCUAGAACCCUCUGUCCUGUGAAAUUACAGACCCAUUUCUCAACUCUCAUUCUCGUCAAAAGUUUUGGAAAAAGUGGUCUCAUCUCAACUCAAACAACAUUGCUGAAAAAUUUCAAUCUGGUUUUUAAUCCUGUCAUAGUACAGAAACUGCACUUUUAACAAUUUGCUUUUAAUAGCAGACACUGGUGGCUCAGCCAUGCUGGUGCUUUUAGAUUUCACGGCAGCCUUUGACACGGUUGACCACAAUGUCCUUCUGUCCCGCCUAGUGACAUGUGUAGCACUUAAAGACACUGUCCUCCAUUGGUUUUAGUCGUACAUAACUGAACGGUCCUUCUCUGUCAGGUUUGGUCCAUUUUCAUCAAAGACUUCCUCUCUUGGCUAUGGGGUGCCCCAAGGUUCUAUUUUAGGUCCUGUCUUGUUUUUAUGUACUUGCUACCAUUGGGUUAAUUUUUUUUUUUUUAAACGUAACAUUUCCUUUCAUUGUUUUGCAGAUGAUGUACAAAUAUAUCAAACCCUAGAAUCCAAAACAGAUUCAUUUAUGGCCUUAAAAAACUGUCUCCACGAUGUAAAAAUGUGGCGGUCAAUCAAUUUCCUUAAUCUAAAGGAAAAGAAAAGUGAAGUUGAAGUCCUCACUGGUGUUAAGUGCCGUAGGCCCUCUUUCAUCUUAUUGCUGUUUUGAACGCGAACCAGAAAAUUUUGCUGUAAAUUAACCGAAAAACAAGCUAACUGGGGCAUACGCUACCCAAGGUUCCACUGUAUUUGCAUAUCUUUGGAGAAGCAGUUCUUGUUGGAUCUCAUUAGAUUGUGUACCUAAUGUUGUGGCCAGUUAGUGUAUAACAGCACGAACACCGCGUGUCUUGAAACAAAAAUGCCAAAACAAAAACGCCAGUAACCCAGGGAGUCCAACCAAUGACAACUUUUAAGCAACGGUCGCCCUUCACGUCAUCAGAUAAUUCGGGCUGUUCUAGCUUUGGGACAGUGUGGUUCAUGUUGAUAACUAUUGAUUGAAGUGCCCACAGCAAGGCAAAAAAAAGUGUUGCAUUCUCCUGUAAGACUGCUUUGACAUUGCUGUCUCUCUCUAGUUUCAAGGUCUGGCAUCAUGUGACAGCCAAAGCACGCUCUUUAAUAUUCAUAAGGAUAAUAUUCAUUAGACGGUAAAUUUAAAAACAAAACACAGAAGGUUUUUUUUUUAUUGUAGCAGCAGGAGCAAAUAACAUCAUUUUGAGAAUGUGUUGAUUAAAGGAAAGACCUAAUGUGUGUUCACCUUUUAAGAGGUCAGUGGGAGCUGUGAGGGUUGUAGUUGAGUGAAGAUGUCGACAACUCUCCUUGGCCGAGACUAAUGUCAUCACCAGUUGUGUUUUUUUAAGCUACACGGCUGCACUGAACAAAGUUGAUGCGAGCAGACUGCGGGGCUGUGAAGGUCCGUGUUUAUGUAACAGACCGAGCUGCGCCCAUGUGACUCCGAUAUGCCCCCCCUUGGAGAAGAGAGUGACACAAGACACCAGAGCGAAAACAUGCAACUCCUCCUUUGCCGCCUGUGCUGUGUGGCGCUAUCAUUAAAAGUGCUGUGGCCGGGUGGCUGCCGUUUGGGGGGGCUAUCCCAUAGGCUGCCUGAGAGUGGUGGCAGUCCCAUCUCAUUUGUUCAUCUUGCUCCUCGUUGCCCAGGCCAGCCUAUCCUACCCCCGGGCUCAGCGCGUCCCGUGCCAGUUUUACUAAGGCCCGACUCCACUGAAGCGACUGAGAUUAAAAGCCUUGAGGUGGAUGCCGGCAAACUCCCUCGAACCGCCACUCCUCAGAGAGCUAGGCUACUUGCUUUGCGUGUGCAUGUCACUGUUAUAAAUCUAAAAAAACACAGUGGGAACCACCAUGCCCAUGUCAAAAUACAACCUGCUCUUUCUUUAGCGCAUUCUUAAGUGCAUUUUUACAUUUCCAACUGCAGAGACACAAUUUCUGCAAUCCCUUACCAUGCGCUUCGACAAGUACUAGGCAACGAAUGGUGAUAACCGGCCCCCUAUUGGUUGUGGUCAAAAUGCUAUGGAAUGCAUGUAAUACAGAUUUCUUCAAAGUUUUUUUUUUUAAUUAUAUAAUAAUGAGACAAAUGGUCAAUAUGUUAUGGACAAUUAGUUGCUUAAUCCCCCCUCUUACCCCUUCAAAAACAUUUUUGUAAUGAGCCAAUUUUGCUAAAAUGUUACACACGUGCUUAUGCCCCUAAGGAUGUGUGAGUGCAUUGAGCUAUGUGAGAAAUUUUAAGUCAAUUAAAAGGUUUAAUGACAGUGCCACUAUGUGGUCUAUUUGUCAGAAGUAUAAUAGCACAGGCAACACAGGAGGGGUGCAUGCUUUGACAAAGAUUCACCCUUUUGCGUGCAGCGGUUCAGGAGUAGAAGUAUUCUCUUCCACAAACAUACGGUACAUUAGGGGUGCCUUAGAAUAAAUGACUAUUCGACAAGUCGAUUUGGAGGAAUCUGAUUUCAGGUAAGGUACUGUUAUUGCACACCUACCAUGUUUAUUUGCUUAUCUGAGUGUUUAAGCCUUUUUCUUUAGGUGGAAAAAGUUGCAUGAGAUGUAUUUAUUUGUAGGGAUCCCCAUUAGCUGUGCUUUUAAAAAAUAAAACGAAAAAUCGGCGAUUAGUAGACAAUGGACAAAAUCUAAUCAAUCAUAUCCGACUAUGAAAAUCCUCAUUCGAAGACAGCCAGCCCUCCAGUACUUUCAGUCGUGCAAAAAAUAGAACACCCCCGGUGUCCUAACUUAAUAACACAGCUCAUAAAGUGUGGUGCACAAAGGAUGACUGAAGAUGGACGGAUCAUCAUUUUUGAUGGUGGGGCAGGGGGAACGCAUCCGUUAUGACUCAAAUGGCAAAAAGAGAAAAUACUGUAUUGGCCGAGCCCUCUUUUUCAAGACUCGUUUUUGGACAAAUCUAAGACUUUUUUUUAAAUUUUAAAUUGUUUUGAAUAUCAAAUGUCGUCAUCAGACCGGACACAUUUUUGCAGCAGAAUCCUAAAAACAUCUCAAUGAAUUAGCUCAGUUAUUUCAGUACAGUGGAACUUUGGUUAGCGUCAUUAAUUUGAUCCAGAAAGUCUGACCGCGAGUCUGAGACCCCUGGUGUAGGCUGCAUACGCUACCACUCAUGGAUUUGUGACUUGCUAAGGCAUUAAAAAAGUUUAUAGAAAAUCAAAAAAAGUUGGUUCCAUUCCCAGUGUCACAGUGCCCUCUACUGGUCAAGCUGCAAACUUACCUGCAAAUGCAAGACUCCAUGUCCAUCACCCCUCAGCAAGAAGACAGUUCUGUCUCAAGGUAUGUUGACGUAUUUUGACUUGUACGUAACUUACAAAUAACAUGUGUGAACGGGCGUCAACGAUCGCAUAACUUAUUGCCCGCGGAUGCGGGACGUAUGAAGCAUACGUUGACAUACUUCGAAAAGUUUUAUGCAGGCACAAAAUUUUUGGACGGCUUAGACGUACUACGACGUGCUUCCGCGUGCUGUUAACAUAUACAAAACUUACCCAUAACUUAUUCGACGUACGCCAGCGUAUUGGCCAAAUUUUUCAUACGUUGGCGUAAGCUGGCUAAAUCGUCAAGGUGUGACAGGGCCCUGACAUAGGUAUCUGUGUCUGCCCCCCAAAAAAUCAAAAUCAGUCAUGUCCUAUCCGAUAACAUUAAAGGCAAAAAAUAAAUAAAAAUUAGGGAUGUCCGAUAUUGGCUUUUUUGCCGAUAUUGUCCAACUCUCAAUUUCCGAUUCCGAUAUCAACCGAUACCGAUAUGUAUAACAUCAUAUAUCUUUUUCUUGAGUAAAAUUGUU